CGGUGGAGCAUGUGGUUUAAUUCGAUGCAACGCGAAGAACCUUACCUGGGCUUGACAUCCCGGGAAUCCCUUGGAACAAGGAGUGCCUUCGGGGAACCUGGAGACAGGUGCUGCAUGGCUGUCGUCAGCUCGUGUCGUGAGAUGUUCGGUUAAGUCCGCUAACGAGCGCAACCCUCGCUGUGUGUUACAAGUGUCACACGGUACUGCCGAUAUUAAGUCGGAGGAAGGUGGGGAUGACGUCAAGUCAGCAUGACCUUUAUAUCCAGGGCUACACACACGCUACAAUGGCCAGUACAAUGGGUUGCCAAGCCGCGAGGCGGAGCCAAUCCUAAAAAGCUGGCCUCAGUUCAGAUUGCAGUCUGCAACUCGACUGCAUGAAGUUGGAGUUGCUAGUAACCGCAGGUCAGCAAUACUGCGGUGAAUACGUUCCCGGGGAUU
rnacentral:rRNA from 1 species